AACGAACGCUGGCGGCAUGCCUAACACAUGCAAGUCGAACGAGACCUUCGGGUCUAGUGGCGCACGGGUGCGUAACGCGUGGGAACCUGCCCUUAGGUUCGGAAUAACUCCCCGAAAGGGGUGCUAAUACCGGAUAAUGUCUUCGGACCAAAGAUUUAUCGCCUUUGGAUGGGCCCGCGUUGGAUUAGCUAGUUGGUAGGGUAAAAGCCUACCAAGGCGACGAUCCAUAGCUGGUCUGAGAGGAUGAUCAGCCACACUGGGACUGAGACACGGCCCAGACUCCUACGGGAGGCAGCAGUGGGGAAUAUUGGACAAUGGGCGAAAGGCUGAUCCAGCAAUGCCGCGGGAGUGAUGAAGGCCUUAGGGUUGUAAAGCUCUUUUACCCGGGAUGAUAAUGACAGUACCGGGAGAAUAAGCUCCGGCUAACUCCGUG
rnacentral:rRNA from 1 species